UAUGCCUACGGGACGCAGCAGUGAGGAAUAUUGGUCAAUGGCCGAAGGGCUGAACCAGCCAAGCCGCGUGAAGGAAUAAGGCCCUACGGGUCGUAAACUUCUUUAGUCAGGGAACAAAGGGUGCCACGCGUGGCGCUGGGAGUGUACCUGAAGAAUAAGCAUCGGCUAACUCCGUGCCAGCAGCCGCGGUAAUACGGAGGAUGCGAGCGUUAGCCGGAUUUAUUGGGUUUAAAGGGUGCGUAGGCGGGUUGUCAAGUCAGCGGUAAAAAUUCCGGG
rnacentral:rRNA from 1 species